GGCAGCCUUGCGAGGAAGGGAUGCUUACAGCUCCCAUUUUUCCCCUUUCUAGGGGAAACUGAGGCUGAAAGAGUUUCAGCAACACUCCCAAGUCACACACCUGGAGCUGGUUGAGGGGACAUCGGUUGCCCUGCCUUUGCUGCUGGACCACCCCACAACCUCCAAGGCUCACCUCCAGGGAAGUGGCUUCGAGUGCGCAGGCCCGGAAGCUCACUAGACCGCACACUCCAGGAGGGCGGGGCUGUGUCUCCCGUUCACCGCUCAAUCCUCAGCGCCAGGCACACACCCAGGGACAUAGUAGAUGCUCAGUAAAGAGCCAAAGCCUCAGGGAAAUCGGCUCCUUCCAGACUUGGCCACCAAUCCAUUGGUGCAGUGAACAAUGGCUAAUAAUUAAUGGGGAACAUUUUUUUAAAGUGAGGAAUCUGGGGCUCAGAGAUGCGUGUGCGGCAGGCUCUUCGGAUUGGUCUGGAUUCUAGCUAAAUGUGCGACGUCAGUCAUACAUGUCAGUAACUUCGGGUCAUCCGAUCUUUGAUGUCAGGAUUGCGAUCCUGACUUUACAGAUGAAGACACUGAGCUCAGAGCCGCUAAGAGGCAGGGCGAGGCUUCUGUUCCUGUUUCCAGGGCAAAUGUGCUACUCACGCAAGGUGCAUCGGAACAGGAGGGGUCUGGUAGGGAAGCACAGUAGUAACAACAACAACAGUGUGUGUGGAGAUGGAAGUAGGGGUUCUGACCCCCAUCUCACUCAAGGAGCUAUGCCCCAGAGCUAACACAAGAUGGGAGAUAGAUCCUGCUGUUCCCCUGGUGGCUUUCAGGUUCUCUGCACCUCUUUUCCGACUACUGUCGUGGGAGCCAUGCGGCCAAGGCGUGGAGGUGGGGACGGCAAGAUCUGCAAGGAGCGUAAUUAGAGGGCUCCACGACUGUGAAGGGCCCCUCAGACUCCAAGAGCUCGUGAGUCGGCUGUGAUCUUUGGAAUCCUCAUUAGAAAUUCUCUCCAGAGCCCGGGGCAUAUGCUUUUACUCGUCUUUAAUAAUGGCAAAUCUUCAUGCUU